UACGGAGGAUCCAAGCGUUAUCCGGAUUUAUUGGGUUUAAAGGGAGCGUAGGCGGCCAAUUAAGUCAGGGGGGAAAGACGGUGGCUCAACCAUCGCAGUGCCUUUGAUACUGAUUGGCUUGAAUGUAGUUGAGGUAGGCGGAAUGUGACAAGUAGCGGUUAAAUGCAUAGGUAUGUCACAGAACACCGAUUGCGAAGGCAGCUUACUAAGCUAUAAUUGACGCUGAGGCUCGAAAGCGUGGAGAUCAAACAGG
rnacentral:rRNA from 1 species